GGCCAACUGGCCCAAUGGCAAGGCGCUUGACUACGAUGAUUGCGUUGCAUCAAGAGAUUGCAGGUUCGAUCCCUGCGUUGGUCA